AACGCGAAGAACCUUACCCGGCCUUGACAUCUACGGAAUUCUUCAGAGAUGAGGAAGUGCCUUCGGGAACCGUAAGACAGGUGCUGCAUGGCUGUCGUCAGCUCGUGUCGUGAGAUGUUGGGUUAAGUCCCGCAACGAGCGCAACCCUUGUCCUUAGUUGCCAUCAUUCAGUUGGGAACUCUAAGGAGACCGCCGGUGACAAACCGGAGGAAGGUGGGGAUGACGUCAAGUCAUCAUGGCCUUUAUGGCCGGGGCUACACACGUGCUACAAUGGCAGGUACAGAGGGAAGCCAACUCGCGAGAGGGAGCCAAUCCCAGAAAGCCUGUCGUAGUCCGGAUCGGAGUCUGCAACUCGACUCUGUGAAGUCGGAAUCGCUAGUAAUCGCAGAUCAGCAUUGCUGCGGUGAAUACGUUCCCGGGUUCUGUACACACCG
rnacentral:rRNA from 1 species